GGCCGAGGGCGUGGCCUCAGCCGGGGCAGCGGGGCAGGCAGGGAGUGGGCCUGCGCUGGAAGCUGGCGGACCGAGGGGAGAGCUGAGGGGGCCGCGGCUGGCUGCCUGGCAGUGACGCCGCCCUAAGCCCCUGCCCGCGGGGCGCUGCGCCCUCCACCUGCGGCGUCGGCGGAGUCCCCCCCCCCCCCCCACCGCGGCGGCGUCUGCAGGGGCGCCCCAGCAUCUCCCCCGCAGCCGCGCCAUCCCCUGGAGGAAGCACUUUGCUCUCAUCCGUGAGGGUCAAUGGGCCCCUGAACGGGCGAUCCGAGCCCACACCCCUCUGGCCGCACUGAUGGACGGGCUCAGGGGUGGGCGUGUACCCAAGCUGGGCCGCGGAGCCCUCUGGAGUUUCUGCGGGGCAGGCCGAGGGCCCGCCUGGAGCCGCUGCUGGCAGCCUUCUCGGUCACCGGGGCGGAGACAGCUGAAGGUAAAACUGGGAGGCAGGAGAGCGGAGCUGAGCAGAGAUCCCUCCUGCCAUUGAGUCUCUGGAUCCCGUCGCAGCUGAAGCCGGAGGCCCUUCUGAUCUCCCAACUGCGUCAGCCGGUAAAAGCCCCCUUUUGCUGAGACGAGCUUGAGUUGGUUUCUGUCCACUGCAGCCAAAGGACUCCCCACAAUGACAGUGGUUCUAACGAGGCUGAUGGUGUGUGACCCCAUUUCCCAGAUGAGGAAACCGAGGUUCAGAGAGACUCAGGCGGCCAACAGCCCAAGCUGGUAAGUGGGAACUAAAGCUGAGACCUGCUGCAGCUGGGCCUAGCUCUUGACCAGCCGAUCCGGGGAAACCUGAAGAGCCCAAGGAUGGACCCACGGACCUCCAACGGGGACAUAAUCUCUGCCUAGAUGGGCUCCCAUGUGGCCCGGGACACUGAAAAUACAGACAGAUCCUACCUUCAAGACAACCUUACUGAAGUGUCACAGGGCUGUGUUAAUGGACCAGGUUGUUUACCUCUUCACUGCGUCCUGGGUUUUUGCAGUAAUAAAGGCUCCCACCGUGCUUUUCCCUGGCUCCUCCUGCCUCGGACCAGCCCCGGGGCCUCCGCAGGCGGCUCUGCACGGUGUGGUGUGGUGCGGCAUGCCCUAUCCUCUUGGGAAUUAUUCCCAGCCAGUUCGGCACCUCUGUCAAUGGUGUUAAGAAGAUGCCCGGAGCAGCCUGCAGCCAGCGCAAGCCUGCCCCAUCCCAGGCCUCAGUCCUGUCCUCCUCUGUCCUUCCGAUACUGCAGCCGCAUGUCUCUUAACAGGAGCCGCGUGCCUCCCUCACGUGGGGCUCAGGGGCUCUCAGUGCUCUCCGGUUAAGGUCCCGACGCCUCCGCGCCUCCACACGGCCUUCGAAGCCCUUCUGCGAUGAGCGCCUGCCCACUUCUCCAACGCAGGGGCUGCAGCCCAGAGUCCACCUGGACCAUUCCACUUCCCCACUGUGCCCUGACCUUGCAGAACCUGAGGCUGCAGACGCGGUUCCCUUUGCCAGGAGCAUCCUUUUCCAUCUCCUUCACCUGCUUCCUCCCGCUUACAUAGGUGCUACCUCCAGCCCCAGCAUCCCUCCCUGGAUUCCUCACCCGUCCUCCUGCCCCAUCCCUGAGAAUCUUUCCCAUUCAUCCCCAGUGGCUCAGGUGGCAAAGUGCAGCGACCCAGAGCCUGGACCUGGCAGUCCUAGCGGGGCUCCUGGAAUCUUACAGGGUCAUCACUUUGUUUCUAAAAGUCAAGACAUUGGAA
rnacentral:lncRNA from 1 species